rnacentral:rRNA from 1 species
CGGACGGGUGAGUAACGCGUGGAUAACCUGCCGUAUACCGGGGGAUAACACUUAGAAAUAGGUGCUAAUACCGCAUAAGCGCACGGCUCCGCAUGGAGCAGUGUGAAAAAUUCCGGUGGUAUACGAUGGAUCCGCGUCUGAUUAGCUAGUUGGCGGGGUAACGGCCCACCAAGGCAGCGAUCAGUAGCCGGCCUGAGAGGGUGGACGGCCACAUUGGGACUGAGACACGGCCCAAACUCCUACGGAAGGCAGCAG